UUGGGGUGGGAAUAGGAGGGAAUUUGAACAGAAAUGGAGUAAAUUGGGACGAACUUGGGGGGAAAAAAAAGGAGAAACCGAGGGAAAUGAGGGGCAAAAGGAGGGGAUCUGUGAGGGAUUUGUGGGGGAUUUUGGGGUGGGAAUAAGAAGUAUUUGAACAGAAAUGAAGUAAAUUGGGACGAACUUGGGGAAAAAAAAAGAGGGCAAACCGAGAGAAUUUGGGGGGCCAAAAAGAAAGGAUUUGGGGCCGAAAAGGGGGUGGCAUUUGGGGCUGGCCUUUGUAGGGGAUUCCCAAGGGCAAAGCAGAGCUGCCUUUUUCACCUCCAGCACCAUCCCCUGCCCUCCUCCCUCACCGUGGCCACCUCCCUUUGUCCCCUGGCCAGGACAUGUUCGGCUUUUUCGGCAGCCUGGACACCAAAGGCACCAACUACAAGUACGAGGUGCCGCUGGCAGGGCCUGCGCUGGAGCUGCACAACUGCAUGGCCAAGCUGCUGGCGCAUCCCCUGCAGCGGCCCUGCCAGAGCCACGCCGCCUACGGGCUGCUGGACGGCGCCGACAGCCCCGACAGCGAGGCCACCGUGUGAGGGGCCAGCGCUAGCCCAGCCCCGCUGGCCACCCGGGGAUGCCCGGGGAUGCGGAGGGGACGGGGGGAGAGAGAGAGAGGGAGGAGAUGGGGGGGGGCGGGGUUGGGGUCAGUGCUUGUGGUCCUGGGUCACCUCUUGUGGUCCUGGGUCACCUCUUGUGGUCCUGGGUCACCUCUUGUGGUCAUUUGUUUCCUCUCGUGGCCCUUUGUCACUUCUGCUGGCCCUGUGUCCCCUCUCGUGGUCCUUUGUCACCUCUCCUGGUCCUGUGUCCCCUCUCGUGGUCUUUUGUCCCCUCUCCUGGUCCUUUGUCCCCUCUUGUGGUCAUUUGUCCCCUCUCCUGGCCCUGUGUCCCCUCUCCCGGCCCUGUGUCCCCUCUUGUGGUCCUUUCUCACCUCUCGUGGCCCUGUGUCCCCUCUUGUGGUCCUUUGUCCCCUCUCCUGGCCCUUCAUCCCCUCCUCCCAU
rnacentral:lncRNA from 1 species